rnacentral:rRNA from 1 species
GGUCCUGCCUGCCCAGUGACGAUAUGUUUAACGGCCGCGGUACUUUGACCGUGCGAAGGUAGCGCAAUCACUUGUCUUUUAAAUGAAGACCUGUAUGAAUGGCACGACGAGGGCUUAACUGUCUCCUUUUUCCAGUCAAUGAAAUUGAUCUUCCCGUGCAGAAGCGGGAAUAGAACCAUAAGACGAGAAGACCCUGUGGAGCUUUAGACACUAAAUCAGCCCUUGUCCAAAAUCCCAAUUAAAGGAAUGAACACUAGAGUGAGACCUGAUCUAAUGUCUUCGGUUGGGGCGACCUUGGGGAAAGAAAAAUCCCCCAUGCGGAACGGAAAUACUAUGUUUCCAAAGCUAAGAGAAACCACUCAAAGCAUCAAAAAUUUUGACCAACUAUAUGAUCCGGCUUAACGCCGAUCAACGGACCGAGUUACCCCAGGGAUAACAGCGCAAUCCUCUUUUAGAGCCCAUAUCGACAAGAGGGUUUACGACCUCGAUGUUGGAUCAGGACAUCCUAAUGGUGCAGCCGCUAUUAAGGGUUCGUUUGUUCAACGAUUAAAGUCCUACGUGAUC